CCUACGGGAGGCAGCAGUGAGGAAUAUUGGUCAAUGUACGAGAGUCUGAACCAGCCAAGUAGCGUGAAGGAUGACUGCCCUAUGGGUUGUAAACUUCUUUUAUAUGGGAAUAAAAUGUUCCACGUGUGGGAUUUUGUAUGUACUAUAUGAAUAAGGAUCGGCUAACUCCGUGCCAGCAGCCGCGGUAAUACGGAGGAUCCGAGCGUUAUCCGGAUUUAUUGGGUUUAAAGGGAGCGUAGGUGGAUUGUUAAGUCAGUUGUGAAAGUUUGCGGCUCAACCGUAAAAUUGCAGUUGAGACUGGCAGUCUUGAGUACAGUAGAGGUGGGCGGAAUUCGUGGUGUAGCGGUGAAAUGCUUAGAUAUCACGAAGAACUCCGAUUGCGAAGGCAGUUCACUAGACUGCAACUGACACUGAUGCUCGAAAGUGUGGGUAUCAAACAGGAUUAGAUACCCGUGUAGUC
rnacentral:rRNA from 1 species